ensembl:lncRNA
GGAAUAGAGAUGGAGGGGUUGUGUAACAGAGGAAUAGAGAUGGAGGGGUUGUGUAACAGAGGAAUAGAGAUGGAGGGGUUGUGUAAUAGAGGAAUAGAGAUGGAGGGGUUGUGUAACAGAGGAAUAGAGAUGGAGGGGUUGUUUAACAGAGUAAUAGAGAUGGAGGGGUUGUGUAAUACAGGAAUAGAGAUGGAGGGGUUGUGUAAUACAGGAAUAGAGAUGGGGGGGGGUUGUGUAACAGAGGAAUAGAGAUGGAGGGGUUGUGUAACAGAGGAAUAGAGAUGGGGGUUGUGUAACAGAGGAAUAGAGAUGGGAGGGGUUGUGUAACAGAGGAAUAGAGAUGGAGGGGUUGUGUAACAGAGGAAUAGAGAUGGGGGGUUGUGUAACAGAGGAAUAGAGAUGGAGGGGUUGUGUAACAGGAAUAGAGAUGGAGGGGUUGUGUAACAGAGGAAUAGAGAUGGAGGG